GGGCACUUCAUUUUCGUCAGCCUGUGUUAGCUCUGAAAAGUGCAAGCACCCAUCUGGGGCAGAGUCUACGCACAUGACCUUAACAUCACUUUCUCGUGCAAAAUCUUUAACCUUCUCGUAGUAACAAGCCUGUGUUAUCAAAAGCUUUGCUCUUGAGGCCUUGGCAUGUUUUGCUAGCUCUGCAGGGGUGGAGAAAGGAUUGGCAGCGGUGACAAUGGCACCUCUGUGUGAAGCGCCUAGGAAAGCAAGCACGAAUUCAGGUGAACUUGGUAGGAAGAGCAUGAUCACGUCACCUUGUUGAAUACCAAUCUUGUUAAGACCAGAAGCAACUCUUCUUGCUGUGAGCUCAACGUCAGCAUAGGUGCAGACAUCUCCGUUUGCGCCAUUUAUCAGGCAAGGUUUUGAUGAAUACUUAGACAAGUUUUCAAGAACGUAUGAAUGCAGAGGAAGGUUUUUCGGGAUGUAGAUGUCUGGUAAUUUUGAGCGAAAGAUGAAUUCUUCUUGUGAAUUCAUUAUGGCGUCCAUUGCGGGCUAAAGAUGCA
rnacentral:lncRNA from 1 species